rnacentral:rRNA from 1 species
CCUACGGGUGGCAGCAGUAGGGAAUCUUCGGCAAUGGGGGGAACCCUGACCGAGCAACGCCGCGUGAAGGAAGAAGGAAUUCGUUCUGUAAACUUCUGUUAUAAAGGAAGAAAGACGGAUGGAGGAAAUGACAUCCGAGUGACGGUACUUUAUGAGAAAGCCACGGCUAACUACGUGCCAGCAGCCGCGGUAAUACGUAGGUGGCAAGCGUUAUCCGGAAUUAUUGGGCGAAAGGAGGGAGCAGGCGGCAGCAAAGGUCUGUGGGGAAAGAUUGAAGCAAAACUUCAGUAAGCCAGUGAAACCGGGCAGCUAGAGUGCAGGAGAGGAACGUGGAAUUCCAUGUGUAGUGGUGAAAUGCGUAGAUAUAAGGAGGAACACCAGUGGCGAAGGCGACGAUCUGGCCUGCAACUGACGCUCAGUCCCGAAAGCGUGGGGAGCAAAUAGGAUUAGAUACCCCUGUAGUC